ensembl:lncRNA
AUGGCCACGAGGAAAUAUUUUCGCAGAUCAAUUCAGGAAAGAAACCGUAUACUCGAGAAAUAUGACCAGCUCCCUCCAAUGUCCCAAAGAGCUGCAGCGCGUCUGCUAAACAUCUCAGGCCCGCUGCUUUGCAUCUGGCUCCGGAGAAGGAAUAUUAAAAAUGCCAAGGCUAACCUUCCCAGGACUGUCUUUCCAUCUCGCAAGACGCCUCGAGUAACGUUAGAAGCUGCACUCUGGAGGUGGAUCGAUACUUCUCAUGAGAACAGAAUUACAGUAGAUGAUUCAACGAUUCGUAAAAAAGCGACUCUGAUAGCUACAGAAAUGGGCCUCUGUAAUUUCAUGGCGAGCACAGAGUGGUUGGCACGCUUCAAAACACGGGAGACAGUGAUACGAAAGAUGUUCCAGGUCGACCGAAAAACGGGAGACGCGCCAAAAGAGCCCAAAUCCGGUAACGAUAACAAAGCGGCGGAGACUAAAAGCAAACUUACAGCCAAAAAGACGCAUCGCAUCGAAGCCGCACUGUGGCGGUGGAUCGAUCAUUCUCGUGAGAGCGGCAUCCGCGUGGAUGAAUCGACGGUUCGUUCAAAAGCGGCUCGGUUGGCCAGGACUGUGGGUUACCGUAACUUCAGAGCGAACACGGACUGGUUCACCCGCUUUAAAACACGAGAGGGAAUCGUACGAGCGAUGUUCCGGAUCGGCCCAAAUAAUCGAUCUUCUAAUAAUAAGACGGUAGCACAACUGGUACCAAGGAUGGAUUUCACAUCUACAAAGACUCGACAACUUGAAGCCGCGCUUUGGAGAUGGAUCGAUCAUUCUCGAGAGAACGGUGUUAUUACAGAUCAAAUGAUUCGUUCAGAAGCGACUCGGUUGGCUAGGAUGAUGGGGUUCGGGAACUUUCGAGCAAACGCAGACUGGCUCAACCGAUUUAAAACCCGUGAGAAAGUUGUACGAGAGAUGCUCGAGUUCGAACAGUAUUUAGAAAAUCCACAAAGCGACCAAACUGAGGACAGAAGUGCGUCUGAUCAAGUUACCCAACAAUCUGACGAGAGCGUAACGGAGCAGUCCAGCGAUGAAAGUGACGCACUAACGGAUCUGGACAUCCCGAAACUCGAACCGACGGUGGUCUCGGCUGAGCUCAACGGUGAUUUACACACGGUCACUGUACCUUCACUGUGGCAAAUGAAGGAGGCUAUGAAAACACUGGCUACCGGGUUACUGUACAGAGGAUUCUGCGACUUUGAACUUCUUCAUCAAUUUGAAAAAGAGGUUAACACUGUUUUGAGAAGAUCUGUGGCCCUAAGAACGCACAGCGGCUCUCAAGCAUAA